AUUGAACGCUGGCGGCAUGCCUUACACAUGCAAGUCGAACGGCAGCACGGACUUCGGUCUGGUGGCGAGUGGCGAACGGGUGAGUAAUGCAUCGGAACGUGUCAUUGAGUGGGGGAUAACGUAGCGAAAGUUGCGCUAAUACCGCAUAUUCUGUGAGCAGGAAAGCAGGGGACCGCAAGGCCUUGCGCUCUUUGAGCGGCCGAUGUCAGAUUAGCUAGUUGGUGAGGUAAAGGCUUACCAAGGCGACGAUCUGUAGCGGGUCUGAGAGGAUGAUCCGCCACACUGGAACUGAGACACGGUCCAGACUCCUACGGAGGCAGCAGUGGGGAAUUUUGGACAAUGGGGGCAACCCUGAUCCAGCCAUGCCGCGUGAGUGAAGAAGGCC
rnacentral:rRNA from 1 species